UUCUUCGACCUUGGAACCCAUUCGAUACAUCCUCUUCGGUGAUCGUGUCUAACCUUCUUGGAGAAUUAGAUGAUUUCUGGUGGGGAGAGAUGUAGAGGGCUGGUACAACUUCUUCCAUCCAUGGCUGCGAAACGGAUCUGUUCUCUCUUGCCAUUUCUUUGUGUGGGUAACCCUUUUUCUUCUG